UAGUCUCUUGAAGGUGAUUCUCUAACAAAGUUAAAUAGGAAUUGAAUUCGAUCCAUGUGGCUAAAUGUUAUUACCGAAGUAGACUGCAAAUGCAAUAUGAUCACAAACGAACUUAACUACUCUUGACUUGAAAAGGCAAAGAUGCAUGCACAUCUAGGCGGCAUGUUAGGUUGUGUUCGGCUUGAACGCGUGACGACAAUAAAGUUGUUGAAAUGUGAGAAUAAUGAGGUGUUAUUCCUCGUGAAAUAUGUGGUAGAAGAUAUUCUAUAUCCAUGAAAGCAUAUAAUAGGAAAUUCCAAUUUCGACAUAUUUAGUGUUUUCAAAACUUGGUGGUCGUUGAUGGAAUAGUAUUUAGACUGAAAAGGAGAAUGUUUUUUUUUCUAUUGGUGGAAUGACUUUCCAAAGUUAAAUUUGUUAAUUUAUUGGUGAAGGUUGGUUUGACUUUGUUGUCGAUGAAAUUGUUUAAUGUUUAUUUUCUAAAAAAAGUAGUACUAUUUAAGACGACUAUUAAAUAUCAUGAACUAAUAAUAUUCAUUUUUUGUUUAAAUACAUUUUUAUUGGCCCCCAAGUUUUUUUUUUUUUUUUUUUGAAGUAUAUGAUAUUGUUAAGUUGGUCCUCAUAUUUGUUCAUGGAAGAUGAUCAUAGAGUUGGCCACAAAAGGUGAUAGUCGAAAUAGAUCACUAAAGAUGGUAGUUGCAUGGAGUUGGAUAUGAGAGGUAAAUCUAUGAUAAUCAACUCCAACAACCACCUCUUGAAGUUUGGCCACAAGAGGUGGUCAUCAAAGUAUGCCGCCAACGAUCGUUGUAGCUAGAGUUAGAGUUAGGUUUCAAAGUGGUCGUGAAAGCAUACUACUAAAGAUAAUUGUUAUCUUAUUGAAGUUGGUCAUGGGUAACAACGGACGAAGGAAGGAUGAGAGAAAUAUGAAAAGAUAAAGUUUAUGAAGUGGAAGACUCUCAAAAUAUUUAUUUGAAUUAUGAUUUGUUUUGAGACUAUCUAUGAAUUUGGAUACCUAGGGAGUGAAGUUGAAAGUCUUUAAAGGUUUAUAUUAUAAUGUGAAUGAAAGAAAUGAUGUAUAAAUAUAAAAAUAAAAAAGGAUCCAUUUGGGGUGUCUACCUGAACUCACGGACUAACAAUGGAAGUGUACUGUUUGAGUACAAAUUCUGUUGGAAGUUUUGAAUUUUAGUGUUUGUUUGGACGUUGGAUUCUUAUUUUUCUUUUACAUUUUCUCUUUACAAUUAUGUAAACCCAUGUGAUCUCUCUAUGCUUUUUUACUCAUUUCUUCCCAUUUGUUUCUCUCAAAUUUACUCAAUAUUAUUUCAAUGAACAUGCAUUGGAAUUACCAUAAUUACUCUCUCUCUCUCUCUUUUCCCAAAGUACAAUUUAACUUUAACUAUUAAAAUAAAAACAACUUUGACUCUCAACUUUUUGUAUAUAAUACAUAUUUACUUUUUAGGUUUUUAAGGUUAAAAAAGUAUGACAUCAAAUAAAUUUGGCAUAUUCCAAUAGUAAGCUUAGUUUAAGGGUCACGUAAUCUUCUGAAACUAGAAGUUUGAUUGUUCAUUUUAAAAGAAGAUUAAUAUGUAACAUGAAUUUUUAUUAAUACAAUUAUAUUCGCUACAAACUCAAGAAGAAACUAAAUACUAACAACUCUUAAUAUAAGCCGUUUUGUUAGAUUACAACUACGACCUCUAUUUAAUAAACAUUUGGGUACUCAUGAUUUUGAUCUAAUAUCCUAAAAUUACGCUCAUGUAAAUUCUAUACCUAAUCCUUCGUAUGUAUAUUUUAGUUAAUUGUAAUGGAUAACAUUUUUAGUUUAGGAUUAAUAAUUAAGUGUAUAUAUGAAAUAAUAUUUUAAAAAGUUACAAAUAUAGCAAAAUGUAUUUAAUAUUGUGAAUUUUGUUAAACUUGUCAUUAUACCAAAAUCUUACCAUUUUGAAGAAGGCAAAUAUGAAAUAGGGUUAGGGCACGUGAAAGCAUGUGAGAAAGUUAAAAGGCGAACAUUUGGUACAAAAAUACAUUCAAACUAAAAAGCUUCAAUAUAUAACAACCAAACUCUACCAAUUGGGGUAUUAAAUAAUAAUAGUCACAAUCUAAUUUGUUAUUUAAAAGUACAAUCACUUUCCAAGUACUUUUAUUUGAUUAGUAUGGUACAUAUCCCUUAUACUUAAUCAGAAAUGUGACAAUUUCAAGUAAUAAUAAUAUCUCAAGUAAUAACCCACAAUUAAUUUUACUCUCUUUUUAUAACAAUGUGGGCCCCUUUUGGAGAGGAUAUUUUAUGAGGUCAUAUCUAAUUAUAUACGUACAUAUAUAUAUAUAUAUAUAAUUCAUUUACUUAAAAGAAAUGAAUUUGUAGAAAAUAUAUAACUUAUUUAUUAUUUAUUUGUUUUAAAUUUGUUGUUAUUUAUUAAAGAAGAAAGACAAUAGUGAUGGUAUGUCCUACGCAUUUAUUAUUAAGAAGAGCAAUGUCUGGUGAUAAAAUGAAGUGUAUCAGAAAUUCUUUUUUAUUUUAUUCUAAUUAAUUUACGUAUUUAUUAAUUUGUUGUUUUAUUUUUUAUUUUAUUUUUAUUUUUUUGGAGUGGUCCUUAUAACAUCACAGCCACUAAGUCAGAAGUGCCUACAAUACAAUAAGACAUAUAUCCCCGCUUUCUAUAUUACCAAAAACUUCGAUUUCUCCGUAGACUGUGCAUCUAUCCCUCUUUUUUUUCUCUCUCCAUAUAAAUAUGUACCUGUAUGUAUAUGUGUAUAUUUGUAUGUGUAUAUAUGUAUAUUUGUAUGUGUAUGUAUGUGUAUAUAUGUAUAUAUGUAUGUGUAUAUAGGACAUUUCUUCAUAUUUAUUAAACAUUUAUGUAUAAUGGACAGUGUAGUUUCAUUUUUAUUGAUUAUUUAUGCUAAAGGACUAUGAUUAUGUUUGAUUGGAAGCAAUCAAAAUCAUAGCAAAAGAGAAAAAAAAAGGGUAGCCCUCAUAAAAAGGCACAACUCUUCAAAAUUAGGGUCCUUAAAAGCAACUUUAGAAGCUUUUUUCAAACAUCUUAUCGACAGUUGAUUGCGUGAAUAACGGCCAUAGUUCCAUAGGUAGAAAAGGGAAUCUUUUGUACUUUUUAGGACAAUCAGUUGGUAAAAUAACCUAAACAAAAAAUAAAAGAAAUGGUUUGUUUUUCAAGAGGGGCAAAAAAAUAAUAAUAAAAUAAAGAAAAGAAAGAAAGAAAACUAAUAUUAGAUCCAAAAAUUUAAAGCUCUAUAAACAUGGUGGCUCGAAUAUUGAUUCGAGUGCACGGUAUCCAAUGUAUGAACUAGUAUAAUCAGUAGAAAAAGAAACCAAGUUUUGAUAAACUUGAUAAACCUCCUACUCUAUUUUGUUAUGAUACCAUGUUAAACUACAGAAAUAAUGAAAGGGUAAGAUAGAUAGGACGAAAAGAGAAAUCGAGUCACUGUCCUAAAAGGGACUCCUUCAUGUUGCAAGAAAAAGAAAAUUGAAUGGUGGAAAAAACAGAAGAAAAAUCAGAGGCAGAGAGAGAGUGAAAAGCAAAGGGUCCAUGGUUCACAUCCAAAUGCGGUGACCCGGUGAACCAAUGGGGUAAAAGGGAUAUUCUUUUGAGAGUUUGAUAGAGACUAUUCCUUGUGUUUGGCACAUGGAAGGCCAUGUUACUCUUGUCCCCAAGUCUUCUUAUGAAGAAGACAACAUAGUAAAGCAGAUCAACCUCAACUACUUCAAAACUGCCACUUUUUACUUUUUACCACAACUACAACCACAUUCCCCUCUCACUGCCUUCCUCAUUGCCUUGCUACUUCUAAUCUAACUUUUAAACCUUACUUACAAUAUUGCAUUGUAAGCUGUCGUAUGAAAUGUCCAAACCCCAAAACAAACAUUUCGACUAUAGCAAUCUGGCUAGAAAAGGUUAACCCCAUGUGGGAUGUUGUCGUAAGGAUGAUCGGUUUCGUGGGUGUGUUGAAAAUGUAGACAGCAGUAGGUGUCGCCAAGUGCCUGAGACGACGCGGAGCGACCGACGUCCUCAAAAGAGCUAGUUUUAAAAUAAAAUACGAGUCGUCACCAAUCUUUUUUACGAUGUGAUUGGACACCGAAAUAAAAUAAACAAUUUUUAAAAAAAAUAAUCUGCGAAAAAUAGAAUUGAGUUCGGAAGUCAUUUGUGUGUGGGGAAGGUAUUAGCACCCCACAACACCCAUUUAGAAAAACGGUGGCCAAAUUUUAAAUCUUGAAUUGAAAAUAUUUUUAAAUUUAUUUUAAAACUAAUGUUUUAUUUCAUCCAUCAUUACUCCAAUAUUUGAAGUAAUGAUCUCAUAGAAUAAGUGGAAUUAUAUUCCAUUAAUUAGACUAUAUAUUGAAGGAAAGUUUCUCACCUUAAGAAAAUGAGAAAUUAUAACAAUUUCUCAAAAUCUAUCAUAGGCUAGUCUUUGAAUAAAGUUUUUUUAAAAAAAAACAUUGAUUAAAUUCAUUUUUUCUUGGGAUCAAAUCUCAGACUUCCAAAGAUGUGAUCCCUUACCUUAAGAAUUCUAGAAAAUCGGACUCCCAAAUUUCCUAGAUUCCAUCAUAGGAAUAUUUUUAGCGAAAUAGAAGUGAGUUAUUAAAAAGUUGAUUAAGGAAAACAUAUGAAAUAUAGAUUUAUAUUUUAAACAUUUUUUAAAAAAAAUUAAAAGGAAUAGUUGUAAAGUAAAAAUUUCUAAAUAGUUAAAAAAAGAAAUUUGAGAAAGAUCUUUAAAAUUAAGUCAAUAGAAAAUAAAUAUAAUAUACCCUAAAUUAAGCAAGUAACAUAAGAUUUUAUUUUUUUAAAAAAAAUAUUGGGAAUCGAAUCUUGGUCGAUUAUAUUUUGUUACAUUUAUUUUUACAUUUUAAUCAAUAUCUCAUUUAGUUUCAUUUUUAAUAACAAAAUUUUCAUUUUCCUAAAAUAAAUUAAAUGAGAUAUUUUGAGAUUUUGUGAAAAAUAAAUUAAUACAUCAAAUGAAUAUUAAAAUACUUUUAUUUAAAAUUGAUUUUCUUUUUUCUUAAAAUGAUUUAGUAAGUCAAAAUUGAUAUUAGAAGACUUUAUUUAAAACAAAUUCAUUUCUUUUUUUUCCUAAAACAGAACGAAUAUGAUAUUAAAAGAUUUUUAAAAAAUAAGUUGGAUUUAUUUUUGUUUUCUAAAAUGAUAAAAAUGAAAUAUUGAAAAAUAUUAUAUUAUUAUUAAUUUUUUUACCUUUUUAAGAAAAAUAAAUAAAUAAUUUAGCAAUUAUUACUAAUAUUAAUAUUUUAAAAAAUAUAUAUGUGUAGGAUAAAAGUGUGGUUACAGCAGGCCGUCACCUUAGUUUUCUGGUUGGAAGUUUAGUUGUGAUACGUAGGAAUUCAACAUUCAAACCACAUUAUGUAUACAGUUGAGAUAGUUGAAAAAUUAACCAAGGAAAAUAUGACUAAUGAGGGUCUAGAGUAUAAGAAACCUGGAUUAGAAAGAUAUACAUAAUGAAAGAACGAUUGAUUGGGAUGGGAAUUGAACAAUUGGACCCAUUUAGACACUGAUGGAGCAAAAAUAAAAUUUGAGGAUAGGAUUGCGCUGUACCUCGUAAGCAAAUGUGCGAAACAAGGGCGAGAUUGAUACAAAAUCAUGUCACAAUGAACAUGACUGCACAUGCAGGUCCAAACCAAAAGCAGGGCCGUAGGGUCCCAUCCCCAUUAAAUGUCAUGUACUAGAGAAAGGUUUGUGAAUGAUCUGAUCAUGGGUAUUCUGCGACAUCCUAAGAACUUUGCUCUGAAAAAAAAAUUAAUAUGCAAUCUCCCUUUGCUUCAGAAAGAAGAAUGCAUAGCAAUGACUGUGAAAACAGAGUAAAAUUGAAGAUAAUAUCACUUCACUGAAGCAGGGUUAAGACACUGCUCUAUUAUAACAUUCAAAUGUUACUUUUAGAUCUGGCCGACGAAAAGCCACCUUAGUUGUUAGGCCUUCGAACAAGAAAACAAAAGGUACCCUAUUAAAGUUUCUAUUUGCAAGUUAAAUGUAUUGAACAUUGCUUACAUUUCAUGUCUGCUUGAUCAAUUGAUAAGUUUCAUAAUACUGUUAAGACUUAGAAUGAUGGAAUGAAUGAUACAACCUUCCAUAAUUUUCCCUUGAAAAUUAUGUAAGUUCCCUUUAGAACACUACUAGUCCAGGCUUGAGUUGUCUAAGUCUUUGAUAAUAAUAUUUUACAACUCACAAUGAACUUAUGAAACAGCAACAUGAGAGUUUUAUUCAAAAUAACAUUCCAUUGGAAACCUAAAGCACUUCUUUCUGAUGAACAUAAAAAGUCGCUAAAUUUAGGAAUGGAAAAGAUUCUAAAUUUGUUCAAACCAAACAAGAAAGAUCAAAAUCCAAUUUAUCCUUUAAAAAAGAACCCCAAUUUUUGACACAAUCCUUUAAUCUUGCCUGAUUAAGGAAUAGAAAAAGAACAAAAUCGUAUACAUAUUUAAAGGGACCUCUAAAGAGUAUAAUUUCAUAUGACAAAACCAAAUGUCAAAAUCUUAAAAGAAAACGCAAUAGAGAAUCUUCAACUACAAAAGUACACAAUAUAGCCAAAAGGCUAAAAGAAACUUGGAGAAGCCAAAAAGUCAAAGACAUCUAAGCUAGCUAUGUAAGCUCCAAAUUUAAUGGUAAAUGAGUAAACUGGAGAAAUCAAAAUUCUUUAGAAAGGAUCUAAUUAUUGCAGCACCAGCUCUAUGUAAUGGAAGGACAAUAAUGUAUUUUAACACGAAAGACAUCCUAGUGCUACAUUAUCUACCUAUUUUCAGAUAGCACUUUAAGAGCAUAUAGAACCCACAAAGAAGCCUAGAGUUCCUUGUCCAACAGAUCAAAACAAAUCGAACCCAUGAAAGCAACAGAGAAAUAAUAACAGAGUGGUCCUUGCCUUUACAAUGGAAGGUAGAGAGUUAAGAUCAAGUAAUGCCCAUCACAAAGGUCCUAGUGCAAACAACACUUUCACCAACAAGUAAUUCCAUUCAACAGUAGUUAAACUAACGGAAAAGUAGGUGGAAUUCAUUCUCAACUUAGUUUAGAAAAACAACUCAAUGGUCAUGCGAAGAUACACAGCAUUUACAAAGCUUGGCAGCUCAUCGGGAAGUACGGCAAGAUUUCAAACCAUAGAUAAAUAAAUGAUGAAAACAUAGUGGUUAAUGUUGCUCCUAGACGCCUAGUUUGUAGGGAAUAAUCUCAAUGAAGCUCUAAAAAAAUGGGCACUUGAAGUACCACCAAUUGAAGGUCACAUUCUCUCGUGGUUUCUUAAUUAAUUUCACAUGAUAUCCCAAGAAAUUUAACUGAAACAUUAAGAAGGAAUCACUUGGCAGGAGUGAGACCUAAAAUGCGCAAUCUUAUCCAAUUCUGGUGGCAAAUGGAAAUCUAGUUCUAGCAAUCUCGAUUGCAGUAAUUCUUUACUACAUUGACGCUAUUAUAUUGUUGAGUGAGUUCUUAUUCCUUAAUAAUGCACAACUAGGGUCUUGUAUACUGCAACACGUUGAGCAUUUUGGUUCAACUUUCCACUAAAUGGGGUUGGAUGGCUUCUCACGUGGUUUCUCCAUGAGAUCCACGCGGAUAUUCAUGUUAUUUGAAUAUAGAGCCAAGUAGCCACUGGCUUUUAUUAAAUAAUAUUAUUUUUUAAAGAAGGGGUAACCACUGGCUUGUCAACUCAUACAUACAUCCUACCAAAACAAGUUGAAAACUGUCACCAAUGACAUUGUAUUUCAUAUAUUCAUUUCUUAAAAUUGUUGCCAAUAUGUGUCUAUGUGCAUGGCUAUCAUCCUCUGGAUUCAGAGUGCCGAGUGUCUCAGGAGAAAGAUGGGCAAGGCAGGAAGUUAACAGCACUAUACGAUGCCUGGACAUAUAUAUGUCUCUCUCCUAUGGCUUUCUAAUCUAUAGAAACCAAAAACCUAUCAAGUCCCACAUAAUAUCUCAGCACUUGAUUUCUUCAACCUUAAAAUUACAUAUGAAUGGUUAACAGGCUCAUCAAACUGCCACGGAAAAUGAAUAGGCCAAUACUUUCUUUAAUCUGUGAAGUGAAACUUGUGGAUGUUGGAAGGGAAGACCUCUGUUAAGGCUGAGAAUGCACGAAGCAACUUGAAUCUAUAAAGUAUAGCUUUGACGAGGAGACCAUCUUAGAAAUAGGGUUUUAGAACGUUAGAAGCAUCAAGUAUCACAUCAUCUUAAGAAUAUCCUAGCCGAUAAGAUUUAUUCAGCCAUUUGGUAAACUAGUGAGAUAGAGAACUUAAAAUGAAAAAUAAAUUCAAUGACAAGUUCUAACGUUUUAUCCUCUGUCAACAGAAGAAACUGAGACAAAUUGAGUCUGAUCAAUGACGCAAAAAAUCUAAAUAAGUAAAUGAAUGAAUACAAUUCCUGAAGAGCAUCAGGUGAAACUAAAAAUAUAUGGAUUAUUCAAAUGUUUGUUCAAAGGAAAACGUCAACAAAGAUGUGAAGCUCUUUCAAGCAGACAUCAUCUUGAUGAGGAAAGGUUUUGGCAGUGAUAUCAAUGGAUGAGAACUGAGAAGGGGAUUAGACUGAAGGAACCAGCCAUUUGCUCAGCCGAAAUGAAUCCGUACAAACAUUUGUUAGGAGUGCAUGUCAUUAGGAUCUCAAAGUGGAAAAAUACAACUGCUAUUAAUGAAAGGGAAAAAUUCAACCUGUCCUAUUGUCAAUGCUGCAAGCUGUAUGAAUUAUCUAAAAAGAAAUUCACGAGUACCUGUACCUCGCCUGGGAUAUAAUCUUUGUUGGCAAUGAUCUUUUGUUGUUUUCACAUCAUCUUCUAACCGAGCCAAAAUUGUUAUAACAGUCUCAUUAUUUGCCUUGUUGCCUGGUAAAAGUUAAAACGCAAAACUACAGAUAGCAAGAUGUGCAAGGAUGGGGAAGAGGAAAGCGAUGGAAGCAGGUAACUUGAUGCUCGAAUUGGCUAACCACCCACAAAAAUACGUACUUUAGGAGGAAAAAAGGAGGGAAUGUGUUUGACUAGUCAGUUAAAAUAACUGAGAAAAGGCACCUUUGUGCAUAAAAAAAGUAGGACUCAUCGAUUAAGGUAGUUACAAAAAAGUAUAAAGUAGAUGAUGUAAGCGGUGGGAAGAGCUAUACAAGUACUGAACUAAGUAGAGGAAGAUCCCUAGACCUCACGGAUAAUCUGAGGACUUGUACUUUCACCUUCUUAUUUUGUUCAUUGAUGUUUAGAACUGCCUUUAUGUGAUUUACAUAAAACUGAGUAGUAAUACUGGAUAUAACUAUGAUACAAACUACGCUCUUAUGAUCAAUGAAACCAUUUCAUCAUAGCACCUCAAAAUAAACAAUUUCCUCGUAAAUGUCAACUUGAGCCGUUUAACUUUUACACAAGGUUAUUUGAGUAGUGCUCAACUUGUGAUCUCUAUCCAGCUACAUGCAACAUCUUUAUACAGCCCUUCCUUUCUCACAGAUUCCCUCAAAUGCUCUAUCUCGUUCCACAAGCCAAAACCAGCAUAUAGAUUCGAUAGCAUAACUAAUAUCCCAGUAUUCUGAGGAUCCAAUUCAAGUGCCCUACGAGCUGCCAAAUUGCCCAACUUAAUAUUUCCCUGUUCCAAGCAAGCACGGAGUAAAGCUCCCCACAGGGAAACAUUGUAAUCCCGACUUUUGAUAUCAUUUACGAGCUUCCAUGCCUUUUCCAAUUCCCCAGCUCUACAGAGCAAGUCAGCCAAACAACUGUAGUGCUCUUGACCAGGUUCCAACCCAAAAUCACUCUGCAUGGAGUCAAAAUACUGGACUCCAAGAUUCACCUCGCCAGUAUGACCACAAGCUGAUAUGACUGUCACAAAAGCCACCCUAUCUGGUUUGAUCCCUUCCAUCAACAUCUGGUUGUACAGUUCAAUUACUCUUUUGUAACACCCAUUUCUACCAUAUACACUAAGCAUAGAAGUCCACAUUAUAAUAUCCCUUUUCCCAUCUUCUUGGCGUCCAAGUCCUGCAAACUUGAAUACAUUCCAUGCUUUUUCCACCAUCCCAUUCUUCCCAUACAUUUCAACUAAUGUGCUUUGCAAAUGAACAUCACUUGUAAUAUCAUAAACCGUUCGCAGUAUAUAAGCAUGCACUUGCUUACCUAGUGCAAUUGCAGAUAAACCAGUGCAUGCUCGUAAAGAAGCAGACAGAGUGAACUGGUCAUACUUCAAAUCCAGACCCUGCAUCUUCCGUAGCAAUUCAAGUCCUUCAACCCACAUCCUAGCCUCGCCAUACCCAGCCAGCAAUGCAUUUGCGCACACAGUAUUCUUCAUGGGCAUUUCAUCAAACACUUCAACGGCAUCAUAAAUCAAAGAAUUUUUUGCAUACAUAUCAACAAUCGCACUCCCAACAAAAACACUACACAACCAACCUGAUUUCCCCACGAAUGCGUGAAUUUGUUUUCCAUACACCACAUUCUGAACAAAAGAACAACCAUUCAAAGAGCUGCAAAGGGCAUACGUGUCAAUAGGAACCCCAUUAGAAUGCAUGAAAGAGAACCCCAUUAACGCAAAAUCUUGAAACCCAUGUCGAGAAAAGUCAGAAAUCAUUACAUUAAAGGUUAAAGAAGUUCUGGGGAUGAUGCAUUGGAAGAUGCCGUUUAAGCUUUUCGCAUCAAAAUUGGGGAUGAUUUGGGAGUAGGAUAGUAUAAGCUUAGAGUGAAGAUUCGGGGAGAAAAAUUGGAAGUGGGUUCUAAGCAAAUGAGCGUGAAUCUUCUUAAUGGUUUUGAGAUUUUUGAAUUGAGAAGAAUGGUGGAAGAAACUGGCGAAGGAAUCAAGACUUCGUAUAGACAUCAAACAAAAGAAUGGAUGAAGCAACAGAAGGAAAGAGCAUUUGGAAGUCUUUUUUACUUUCAUAUUUCAGGGGUACUUUCGUCAUUUGGUCGAUAUCGUUGUGACAGUUGAGAAGCCACAGUUAAAGAAAUAACGACAAAUUCAGGUUUCAAAGUACUUAAGUUUAUUGAUUUUCUUUUGCCCCUAAAUUUAGUGGAAAUAAUUUUUUUGGAAUAAGCAUCAAUUUUUAAUAUUUGAAAAACAUCAAAUUACAAAAAAAAUAAUGAAUCUAUUAAUUAAUUUAAAAGAAUUAUAUAUAAUUAGAUAUUUACUAUUUUUUUUCAUUAUUAUUAAAAUUAACUUUAUAAUUUUACUUUAUAAUUAAUUUUAGUUAAGGAACGAAGAAAAAUGAGUAUUUGGUCAGAGAUUGAAGAACCUCAAGAUCAAAUAGAGACAAAAUUUAUAUCUCAAACUUUAAAUUCUAAGAACUUUGUUGAGAACAAACUUAAAACUUAAAGCUAAAAUAUAAUGUUUCGAAAUAUAUACAUUAUAAUAGAAACUGGAGACAAAAUUUAAGAAGUAAUUGGUUUUUCCUAAAGAAAAAGAUGGUAUAAGCUUGAGAGUAUUAAUUAGAUCUCCAAAUCCAAAUGGAAUCCUGUUAUUCAUAUUAUUAUUUGAACUAUUGAGAAUGGUUUUGAAAAUUUUAAAAUCCUUGUGGCAGAUGACGACAUUAUUUUGAAAUAUAUUAAAAUACUAUGAUUUUUUAACAAUUAAAUUGCACUUAACAAAACCAAAUAUAGUUGGCUUAAAUUUAAGGUCUAUAGCCUACAAUGAAUUUCUCGAUCUCAAAUUAUACUUGUGAUUUUAAAAAGUAGAUAAGAUUCGUGUUAUUAUGUCAAAUGGUUUGGUUUUUCAUCAUUUUAAUUGUUUGACUAAAGAAACAAAUAGGGUAAGACUCGUGCAGUUUCAAAAAAAAAAAAAUCACUAUAUAAUUAUUUAAAACUAAAGCAAGUGUUAGUAUUUAGUAAAAAAAACUAGGUUAAAAAAAUAAACAUCGAAACGUAGAGGCCGACUUGAAACAAAACUAAGUAUAAAUAACAAAAUUAUAACAUUUUAAAACUCAUGGACUAAAUUGAAGCCAAAUUUAACCUAAUGACCAAGAGUGUAACAUUUUAAAACUUAAAUAUCAAAUAAAAACAAAACUCUAAACAAAGUAAAACAUAUUUUUCCAGUAAAAGUGCUUGGCAUACUUUUCAAGUGUUUAAUGUUAAAUGAAAAAUACAUGAAAAGUCAUUUUAGAAAAUUUUGAAGUGUUCAACAACUCAAAAAUAGAACUUUAGAAAAAUGAGUUUGUAUAAUAAGUUGGUUUAUGAUACACUUGAAAUCAACUUUUAGAAAAAACUAUUUUUAAAUGUUUAGAAGUUAAUCUCUCCCUAAUUUGAAUAGUCCUUAAAAUUACCAAAACGUCUCAAAAGUCAUCUACCUCAGUUCUAUUAUGUUGUUGGCUACCAUUGCUCUCUACUAUUGCGUGACCACCAUCGUCCCCAACCACGUUCAACUACCAUCACCAGAAACUCUAACCACCACCACCAUUGACCACCCUCACUUUUUUUUUUUGUAAUCAACCAACUUUAGUGACUAUUAUUUUAAAUUAUUAAUUCAAAGUAUUUUGUAGUUGCUCUUUAUAGUACUUUAACAUUAAUAAGAACAUUCUUAUCAUAUAACAAACAAAAGAAACUUGUAUAUAUAAACACACAUUUAAGAAAGAAAUUAUAAAAAACACACGUAUCUUUAUUUUAAAUAGUUUUUAUUAAAAAUGUUUAAUGACAACGACUUUAUGAAAAAUAUCUUUUUUAGCCAAUCCAACCAGAAAUCAUUGUAUACUUCCCUCUCAUAGAGUUAUUGCCUCAGACGAUGAUUAAAAGAUGAAAGAAAAGCCUCAAAAAUGGGAAGGGAGAGAUUGUCCACCACUAUACAAAAAAAAUCAUGUUUACAUUCAUUUUCAAAUGCUAAAAAACUCUACUUCCCAAGCCUAAAAGUGAUUUCAAUGGAAAUAUCUUCUCUACAUGGAUUAGUUAGGCUCCCCAUUGGAUGACCAAAGCCAAAUUUUUCUUCAGCUCUGUUUUGCAAAUCCUAAAAUGAAGGCUGUUUUAAGUAUGAUAUUGAAACCACAUUACCUGCAAAGAAGCCUUUUGGAACCUUCAAUGAUGUUGAGAUUCCCCUUCUUUCACUCAAAACGCACCAUUUAAGAACUUCCUAGGUGAGAAUAGCACUUUGUAAGUGGAUUCCCACGUUGGAUUUUUCGUAACAAUUAAAUGAAACUGCAGACUAAGUUUACGUUUGUAUUAGUUUAGGAAUGGUACAAAAAUGAACCGAUAUCCCAUCUAAAUAAAAGAAAUCACGAGAAUAUAAAAGUAUGGUUAAGAAAAGCUUAAAAAAAUAAAAAUUUACUUCAUAUAUCAAUAAAGUGCACCUCAUAAGAAUUUCAAAGUCAAGUGGUGCUUGUUCAUUUGUGAGGAUAGUCUUCAAUCUUAGAAUAAGUUUUAAGACAAGUAUGGUGUAAUAAUAUCAUAAAAGUUCUGAGGCAAUGGAGAGAGGAAGAGGCAGGAGGCAGGUUAGCAUAGUUCACAAGGGCUUCACAUGGGUCUGUCUUCCAACUUGCAGUUUGGGUUCAGGGCUAAGAAAGUUACACUGUCACAGUUUGGUCCUAAACAAAUGUCCUACAGAAUCAACCAUAACCCAAUUUGAGGACCAGCAGAAGAUUGGAAAGGGACGGCUGGAAGGGUGAGAACCUUAAAUUUAGAGGCACAGUUAGGUGACUCUUAGGGAGGGUGGGGAGAGACCAAAUAUGUGAAUGUUGUCCAAAGAAAGCAACUAGGACGGAGUGGGUGCAAAUUCAAAGAAAGCAAAAGAGACAAUUCUAUGGGAUAACAUUUACAUACAAAACCAACAGAAAGCAGAUUCCCUCUCAUGUGGGUUUGAAAGAAAAUUACAACAUAAAUGAAUGCUAGAUGAUUUCGACUCUUUUUACUGUUGAUUGAAACAUAUACAAAGCUCUCACGCAUUCUUUGUUUUUUCCUACCUUAAAUAAAGAAGCAGAAGAAGCAGAAAUACAAUAAAUGCAGAAAAUCAGGACCACAGGAACUCGCAUUGGUGGUUACUGGUUAGUGUAGGAAUUUGAAAAAUCUUCUUUCUACCCUGCAUAGACUGACAAGUGGGCUUUGGGGAUUUCCUGAUUCAUAGGGAAUGUGCUUAGGAAAUAAAAUAGCCAUGGUUGUCAGUCCAAGAAGAGAAUUUUCAGAAUGAUUAGGAAUUAUGCUCAAAUGAAGAUAUUUAAGACAAGGAAUGGUAGGAAUAGCUCCUGAUAUUGACUAAAAACUGAAAUGUUGUUAAACGUGCUAAUUAAGAUUGGGAAUGAUGUGAUGCAUAUUUAGUUUAAAGAGCCUAAAGAGCCAUGUAGGAUUUAAUAUCUUGUGAGUUUGCAUGUUGUCCUAUGAGAUUAGUCAAGAUGCACAAAAGAUGACUUGAACACUCAUGGGCAUAAAAAAAUGGUACUUACCAAACGCUUUAUAGAAAGGCUCCUUUGUUGAUCAUAAAAUGUAUGAACAUUGGAAUAGUGGAUAAGCCUUCAGACAUCUAUAACUAUUCUUGCAAGAAACAAUUUGGUCUUAAAAAGAUGUUUUAAAAUUAGAACUAAUUUAAUAGCAAACUCAACUGUUAGUACAACACGUUGCAAGUGCCCUCCAGAAUCAUACGAGUAUGUUUCCACAAAAAACUGCUUAGCAUGAAAAUGAAGAUACACAUUUUAGCUUACUUGGGCCAGGAGAUAUAUAUCAACAAAGGGCUAGACAUCAUAUAUGUAUUACAGAGAGAAUAUUACCCUUUUCAAAUGUAGUAAUUCGUGAAGAGAAAUAUGUUCUCGAAGUUGAGCAGAAGAUGCAUGUAAUAAACUUGUGUUCCUCACAAGCUUGAAAGAUUAGAUAGAAAUGUCACGUUUUGAUGAAGUCUUGUGCUCCAUAAAUCAUUUCAAUAGAUGGAACAAAAACAAACAGCUGAAGGCAAAGCUCUUUAUCAGAACUCUUUUCAGUGUCUCUACCUCCUCUACCUACCUUUACCGCGUCCAACAAGAUCUUUAUAGCUUUUACAUCCUUGAAAGCUCCAAAAUUAAAAUUCCUGUCCACUAAUGUAAUCAUGUUUACUUGAAUGACAAAGGAAGGUUCCGAUGAUAAUGAAUGUAUCUCUUAGUACAAACUACAAAGGGGUGAUUAAAUGAAAGAGAAAAUCAAAGUGACUGCAGCCACAGGAUCUUGUCCCACCAUGCUAUCCUCCAAUGUUAGACUUGACUAUAAUACUAAAUUAAUACAAGAUAUUUUCAUCAAUAUAUAUAAUUAAAUGAGAAUUAGCUCAAAAUCUAUUUAGAUUAUUCUAGAUCUUGACUCUAGAUAUAAUCCGGUAUUUGACAAUCAUCAUAGAGUCAAGUGUUAAAUGACCAAUUAAUCCAAAAGCUUAAGUGAAUAGAUUAUGGUAAAUUUAAUUUUAUCAACACUUUAACACUCUCUCAUACUUGUGGGAUUGAAAUUUUGAAGACACAACAAAUCGAAAUCAACAUUAAUUGAAGAGUAUACGAGAUUUCAAGCGUUCCAACACAAGACCUUGCUCUAAUUGACCCAAAAACUUAACUUGAUGAGUUAUGGUACAUAUAAUUAUGUCACCAAUUUAACAAAUGGUGUGUGGGAGGAAGAAUAGUGUCAGUUAAAUGAUCAAACUUGGGAUGCGAUCAAUAAUUCUCUGGAACUAAUAAAGUCCAUGUAAAAAUUGGAACUAGUACUUAAUGGUUCUUGAUUGCUCAAAAUCUCUGUUACAGAUUCAAAUAUUUAGAAAAAAUAAUGAGUGGAUGAAGAGUAAGAACUGGAAAUAAACCAUUCACUAAACUACAUCGUCAAAUAUAACAUGAAAAUAGAAAAAAUUGACAGAAAACUUGGAGUAGCAUUCUUUCCUCAUAAUGAAUGACAUAAAGUAAGUUAUUAUUUGUACAUAUACUCUGAAGCUUGGUAAAUACUAAGCAAUGUGGCAGGAAGAGCAUAAUUAUCCAUAAAAUGAAAAAACAAGAAAAGAGAAAAAUUUGCAAGGAAAUAAUCUCUUCUUUUUCUAGCAUUAACUUGUUUAAUUUUGUGUACAUCAUCUGGGGAGGCAGUUCGACUCUCCCUCAAAAAAGUGUACAAUGGAAUGACAAUGUCUGAUCUACAAGAGACUAAUCUAACAAAUAAAUUUUCUUUUAUGACUCAUUCAGACGAGAGAUGAGAUCCAUGAAUGUAUCAUUGCUGCAAGGAAUAGUGAGACCUCCCAUGGGAUGAUUGUAACCAAAUUCUUCUCCAACUUGACUUAGCAGGUCCUUGAAAAAUGGCUCGUUCAAGUAAGCGAUAGGAAUCACAAACCGCUUCUUCUGGUUUUCCCCUACAUAGACUGCACAAUAACCUUUGCGGAUUGCCGACGAUCCAUGAUGUGUUGUUAGGGAAGAAAGUCUAAUAUUUUGCAUGACAUUUACCAUUCUUCCCAAACGGAAACCCAUGGUUUUUUUUCCCUCUCAAGAAGAAGUUGGAGUCUUGAAUUUUAGAAUCUAGAAGUUGCACAAUAUCGCUUGAGAGAAACAGAGGAAAAUAUUUGGUGGUGAAUUGGAAGUUUGAGAUUUGAGUAGCUUGGAAAUUGAAUAAGCAUGUAUAUAUAGAUUAAAAAGCAGACGUGGCCACUAGCUUGAUCUAAGAAAUGAGUGGUGGCAGGUGAGACAUCUAUGAAUGGGCUCAAUUAGGAGACAUGUACUUGUGAAGUAUACUGUAUCACAUGGUAGUGUACUCUAGAUAAUAAUCUUCAACUACUUGGAAAAUAAUAUCGGGAAAACAAAGUCACCUAACUACUUGGGAAACCCAGCCAAUAGAGGACCCAUCUGAGCUGAAAAGUGUGACUUAGUGAAAACUCAUUAGUUUUGUUAAGCAGGUUGCACAAGGAAUCGGUCAUUUACAUUUGUUAGAGAAAUGCAUCAGACAUCCAAACCGUUCCCCUAAUUCUUUGACAUGCCAACUUAUAGCAGGGAAACAUUCAUUUAAUGGAAUACAUUUUUAUGUCUAAACAGAAGGAAAGCCUAUCUAAUUAAAAAAUCUAAACCAAGUGACUCAAAGAUAUGAACAAAACCAAAGUUGGCAGCUAACCUCUGAUGACAUUAUUACAGCUCUUGGAGUCUCACAAACCAAUCAACAAGCCAAAAAUAUGAUGAGACUUAAGAUGGUUAUAAAAUAGCUAGAUAUGGAGAGAAUUUACCUGAUGCAGAUUGAGAGGUUAGCCUUUUUUUCUUAAAUUUUUCAUUUUGGAUUCCAAACUAGCCUAUGUGAAAGUUCACAUGAAAGCUGACCAACAACGUUCUCUCACAAUGAGUGGAUGUGGAGUUCGGAACAUUUAAUGAGAUCCUUAUAAGGAAAAAAUAAGUAACUUUUAGUUGAUAACUAAAAAUAUAGGUUACCCAUUUCAUAAACUAGUACUUUUCAAAAGAUUAUCAUUCUUAAGUUCUGGACUAACUAAACAAUAUGAAAACAUAAAACAUGCUGCAGGCUUACUCCAAUAACUCUUGAGGAUGAAGACAGUGUUUGUAGAUCAUGUGGAAAAAUUCAGUUUCCUGUUACUCGGGGGCAUUGAUGGAUACAACAAACCAG
rnacentral:lncRNA from 1 species